rnacentral:lncRNA from 1 species
AUGCUCAGCACCAGGUUCUCCCGUGAAACCGCCCUGAGAUGUUUUUUCCUGGCAGUCCCCAGAUCCCAAGGACCCUGGAGUGCCCCCCCCAGACAGAGAUGUUCCCCACUCACUUGCUGUCCCGGUGAGCGCUCAGUGUGGAAAUGUUCAAAUCCCACAUACCUUCGCCUCUGUGGGGUACUGGGGAGUCCUUCUGUUCCUCCAAAGGUGAUUUUUAUGCUCUUUUGAUGUAGUCUAUUUCAUUUGGUGCCGGGGAGAGGAAGCGUGUGGCGUCUAGAUUGCAGC